UACAGAGGUCCCAAGCGUUGUUCGGAUUCACUGGGCGUAAAGGGUGCGUAGGUGGCCAGGUAAGUUCGGUGUGAAAGCUCGGAGCUUAACUCCGAAAUGGCAUUGAAUACUAUCUGGCUAGAGGGUCGGAGGGGAGACUGGAAUUCUCGGUGUAGCAGUGAAAUGCGUAGAUAUCGAGAGGAACACCAGUGGCGAAGGCGAGUCUCUGGACGACUCCUGACACUGAGGAGCGAAAGCGUGGGGAGCGAACAGG
rnacentral:rRNA from 1 species